rnacentral:rRNA from 1 species
UAGAGUUUGAUCCUGGCUCAGGAUGAACGCUGGCGGCGUGCCUAACACAUGUAAGUCGAACGGUCUUCGUAAGGAGACAGUGGCGCACGGGUGAGUAACACGUAGCUGACCUGCCGUCGAGACUGGGAUAACGCCCCGAAAGGGGUGCUAAUACCGGAUAAGCUCCCGCGCCUUAGAGGCGAGGGAGAAAAGGAGCAAUCCACUUGACGAGGGGGCUGCGGCGCAUCAGGUAGUUGGUGGGGUAACGGCCUACCAAGCCGACGACGCGUAGGGGGUCUGAGAGGAUGAUCCCCCACACUGGGACUGAGACACGGCCCAGACUCCUACGGGAGGCAGCAGUGAGGGAUAUUGCACAAUGGGGGAAACCCUGAUGCAGCGACGCCGCGUGGGUGAUGAAGGUCUUCGGAUCGUAAAACCCUUUUUCAGGUGACGAGACAAGGACGGUAGCCUGAGAAUAAGCCUCGGCUAACUACGUGCCAGCAGCCGCGGUAAAACGUAGAGGCGAGCGUUAUCCGGAGUUACUGGGCGUAAAGCGCAUGUAGGCGGUUGGGCAAGUGAUGCGUGAAAGCUCCCGGCUAAACUGGGAGAGGCCGUGUCAGACUGCUCGGCUAGAGGCGGAUAGAGGGGCGUAGAAUUCCGGGUGUAGCGGUGAAAUGUGUAGAGAUCCGGAGGAAUACCAGUGGGGAAACCGACGCCCUGGGUCCGAACUGACGCUGAGAUGCGAAAGCGUGGGGAGCGAACGGGAUUAGAGACCCCGGUAGUCCACGCUGUAAACGAUGCUUGCUGGGUGUACACUCCGCACUGCGGAGGGUGUGCCGAACUAACGCGCUAAGCAAGCCGCCUGGGGAGUACGGUCGCAAGGCUAAAACUCAAAGGAAUUUGACGGGGGGCCCGCACAAGCCAGCGGAGCGUGUGGUUUAAUUUCCGAGGCUACACGAAGAACCUUACCUGGGUUUGGCAUGCAAGUGGUAGGGAACCGAAAGGGGACCGACCUUCGGGAGCUUGCACAGGUGCUGCAUGGCUGUCGUCAGCUCGUGUCGUGAGAUGUUCGGUUAAGUCCGAAAACGAGCGCAACCCCUGGGAGUAGUUACACGUGUUACUCCGACUGCCCGUGAGAAACGGGAGGAAGGUGGGGACGACGUCAAGUCAUCAUGGCCUUUAUAUCCAGGGCGACACACACGCUACAAUGGUCGGUACAAUGGGAUGCANCCCCCGCGAGGUGGAGCCAAUCCAGAAAGCCGAUCGUAAUUCGGAUUGCAGGCUGCAACUCGCCUGCAUGAAGCCGGAGUUGCUAGUAACCGCGCAUCAGCCAUGGUGCGGUGAAUACGUUCCCGGGCCUUGUACACACCGCCCGUCACGUCAUGGGAGCUGGUCACGCCUGAAGCCGGCGGGCUAACCGCAAGGGGGCNCCGUCGAAGGCAGGGCUGGUGACUGGGACGAAGUCGUAACAAGGUAGCUGUAGCGGAAGCUGCGGCUGGAUCACCUCCUUA